rnacentral:rRNA from 1 species
UACGUAGGGGGCUAGCGUUGUCCGGAAUCAUUGGGCGUAAAGAGCGUGUAGGCGGCUUGAUAAGUCUGCUGUGAAAGUCCAGGGCUCAACCCUGGAAUGCCGGUGGAAACUGUCAAGCUAGAGUCCGGAAGAGGCGAGUGGAAUUCCUGGUGUAGCGGUGAAAUGCGCAGAUAUCAGGAGGAACACCAAUGGCGAAGGCAGCUCGCUGGGACGGUACUGACGCUGAGACGCGAAAGCGUGGGGAGCAAACAGG